rnacentral:rRNA from 1 species
UACGUAGGGGGCUAGCGUUGUCCGGAUUUAUUGGGCGUAAAGAGCGUGUAGGCGGCCUGGUAGGUCUGCUGUGAAAACUCGAGGCUCAACCUCGAGAUGUCGGCGGAAACCAUCUGGCUAGAGUCCGGAAGAGGAGAGUGGAAUUCCUGGUGUAGCGGUGAAAUGCGCAGAUAUCAGGAAGAACACCUAUGGCGAAGGCAGCUCUCUGGACAGUUCCUGACACUGAGGCGCGAAGGCCAGGGGAGCAAACGGG